ensembl:lncRNA
UGGCCAAGAGCCCUCCAGACCAAAAUAAUGUUAUCAAAGAUGUCCAAGGAUCUGCAAAUAAGAGGCAAGAUUCCUCAGACAGGCCAAACCAUUCCCUUCUAGGAGGAAGUUUGACAAUGUGUUAGGAGCAAGCCUAUCAUCCAGUUGACCCACUCAGGAAAGUACAAGUCUCGGUGGGGCUGGGUUCAUAUGGGAGUGCCAUAUACUAAGAAUCAAAAUCAGGCUUGGGAACAAAGCAUCGCUGGGACAGAAACUCGUGCUUGAAGACUAGGAAAUAAUUCAGGAGGCGAAGAACCCAGGAGCUUCCUAUAUUCCAUAGGCUGCACCAGCGUGAAAAAUCUCCUUUCAAGAAACAGACUUCGCUAUUAGUUCUCAAUGCACCAAAAAGUCAGCAGUGGUAGCUCCGCCUCCUCUCCUCCCCCAAAAGAAAUCUUCCUCGACUUACAAUGGAGUUACAUCCUGAUUUGCCCAUCAUACGUUGAAAAUAUCAAAUCACCAAGAAUAAGAGGAUUCAGUCAAAAUUUCUGAGACAAUCUCCUCUGGCUGAGCAAGAGGUGGUCCAAAAGCUUCUGCUUCUUUUGAGUUGCACUUAUGGUGUUGCUUUUUCUCACAGUCGACAGUGGAAGCAACAACGGGUAGGUGUGCUCCAGGAUGUGUGGUUUCAGUGGAUGCUCCUAAUGCAAGCAAAGAAGGGACUGUAAAUAAAGCAGACGUGCAGAUGCUACUACUGUGAGAAGCGCUGGGUCUUUUCCCUAAUGCUCAGUGAAUCCCCAUGACUCCAGGACACUCUUGACUUCCAGCCAAUACAUCACAGUCUUCCCCUGCAAUGGCUACAGAGAGAGGUUAAAAAAAAUAGCCCACAAGAGUGCUCUUUCCUUCUCUCUCUGCUCCUUCAGCUCCAAGAAUAGACUCAUUGACGAAGUGUGUCUCUGUGUGUCUGUCUGUUACCCCAUGAUGCAUGCUGCUUCUUAUCCUGUUCUUGGGCCUUUCCUAGAAACGACCUCAGGCAGAGAACUGAAAAUUAAGCAGAAGGAGAAGGGACUAAAGCUACUUCCCAAGAAUAGUUUCAACAAUAAUUACGGCAGUGACGAACGUGCUGUCUGGGGAAAUGUUUGGGAACCUUCAACCCCUUGCGCACAGGCACACAGUUAGUGAGGGGCGUGCAGCCCAUUCACGGGCUGUCUGAUUCUGACAGCUGAGUUCUUACACAGGGCAUCAUCCUAAGCUCAAAAAUGUCAGUUGGAAAGGAAGAAAUCAGCAUAGCGUUAUGUGCAGAGCGAGUGCCUAUAUCGAUGAGAAUCGGAAAGAGAGCCUCUCCAUGCUUCUCCACCUGCUCCGUGUCCAGGACACUGACCUGUCUCACCUGCUGCAACUCCUAUCUCUUUCUGCACCUGAUGCUCUCCAUCAGGGUUCCAGUAACUCUCCUGUGUCCCUUCAGGCUGGGGUGGAAAUGCUCCCCACCCUGCAUGGCUGCUAUGGCUUCCCUGCGUGCUGCCCACACCUUGAACAUCAUUUCUUCAUUAAACUCUCCUAUGUUACCCAUUUUAAGGCUUCCACCUGUUUCUUGCCAAUACCCUGACUGAUUCACACUUACAAUAUUACAUUACAAAUAGAAAAUCUACAUUGCACCUACAUUCUGACUGUCAAGAAUUUCUAUACCCCGCAAAUACUAUAAAGGUCCUCCCUCCCUCCAUAAAACUUCCCCUCCCACUCUGUCCUUUCUCCAGCAGAUGCCACACACUCCACACUUCACACUCACAGCUUUGUUUUCUGCUCUUCCUUCUGUGGCUCUCGAUCCAUAUGGUGAUGCCCCUAACCCUCCGUCUCCCACCUCACUCCCACCGUUAU